UUUUUUUUUUUAUGUUUCUUUUCUCUUUUGCUGUUUUGGGAUUGGGCAGAAAAAUUCUCUGUAUCUGCAAUCACUGGAUCUGAUGGUUUCCAAGUGGUACUGACAUUUUGUUACUGUUAGUGUGAGAAUCUGAAUUUGUGAUUUUCUGGGUUCUGCUUGGUUGCCUAUAAAUUGGGAGGAAAAAAAAGCCGAAGGUGGAAGAAGUUUUUGGGUGUGCCCAAUUUGCUACUCUUUGUGCAGGUUCUGGUAAAAGAAGAUAUUCUGCUGUUUCUAUCUUUUGGUUGAAGCUAAAUAACUUGCACAAAAUCGAGACUUCCGCUAAUGUCACUCACUGUGAGACCUCAUUUCCACCAUUACAAGAACAAAAUGGGCAAACCCACAUCAACAAACAGAGACUGGACACAGAUCUAUGCAAUUUAUGGCAUGGACCAGUGGCAAACUUUGCUGUUGUUCUUCCUCUUGUGUCACGCCAUUUUCUUCUCCAUUCUAUCCAUUCUCUUCCUCUUCUACUUCGAUCCAGUCUGCAAGCUCCUAGAGACUGGUGUUCUUCUUUUCACCACCAGUGCCAGCAGCACUGGCGCUGCUCGCUUUGCCGCUGGAUUCACGGGGUGUGUGAUGGCGCUGUCCGCCAUAUGCUUGUUCUUCGCAGCCGGCAACUUCUUUUACAGCUCGGUGGCGUUACAUCAUGAUAUGGCGCAGAGGAUGGUGAGCUAUGUGAAUGAUUGGUCUUCGGUUAAGUUGGCUCUCGAUAUUGGGUGCGGUCGUGGGAUUUUGUUGAAUGCGGUGGCCACCCAGUUGAAGAAAACUGGGAGUUCUGGCCGGGUUGUCGGGUUGGACCGCUCUAAAAGGACCUCUCUGUCUACGCUCCGAACAGCCAACAUGGAAGGAGUCGGAGAGUAUGUUACAUGUAGGGAAGGUGACGUGAGGAGCUUACCAUUCGGAGACAAUUAUUUUGAUGUGGUGGUAUCAGCUGUGUUUGUUCAUACUGUAGGAAAAGAGUACGGUCAUCGGACGGUGGAGGCAGCAGCAGAGAGAAUGAGGGCAUUGGGUGAGAU
rnacentral:misc_RNA from 1 species